rnacentral:rRNA from 1 species
UGGUGUGAAUUGCAGAAUCCCGUGAACCAUCGAGUCUUUGAACGCAAGUUGCGCCCGAAGCCCCCGGGUCGAGGGCACGUCUGCCUGGGUGUCACGC